GGCGGCGUGCUUAACACAUGCAAGUCGAACGGACCGAUUAGACAGCUUGCUGUUUAUGAAGGCUAGUGGCGGACGGGUGAGUAACGCGUGGGUAACCUGCCUCACACAGGGGGAUCAACAGUUGGAAACGACUGUUAAUACCGCAUAAGCGCACGAUGUCGCAUGACAUAGUGUGAAAAACUCCGGUGGUGUGAGAUGGACCCGCGUCUGAUUAGCUAGUUGGUGAGGUAACGGCCCACCAAGGCGACGAUCAGUAGCCGGCCUGAGAGGGUGUACGGCCACAUUGGGACUGAGACACGGCCCAAACUCCUACGGGAGGCAGCAGUGGGGAAUAUUGGACAAUGGGGGAAACCCUGAUCCAUGCGACGCCGCGUGAGUGAUGAAGUAUCUCGGUAUGUAAAGCUCUAUCAGCAGGGAAGAUAAUGACGGUACCUGACUAAGAAGCACCGGCUAAAUACGUGCCAGCAGCCGCGGUAAUACGUAUGGUGCAAGCGUUAUCCGGAUUUACUGGGUGUAAAGGGUGCGUAGGUGGUAUGGCAAGUCAGAUGUGAAAACUAUGGGCUCAACCCAUAGAUUGCAUUUGAAACUGUCAAACUGGAGUGCAGGAGAGGAAAGUGGAAUUCCUAGUGUAGCGGUGAAAUGCGUAGAUAUUAGGAGGAACACCAGUGGCGAAGGCGGCUUUCUGGACUGUUACUGACACUGAGGCACGAAAGCGUGGGGAGCAAACAGGAUUAGAUACCCUGGUAGUCCACGCCGUAAACGAAGAAUACUAGGUGUUGGGGAGUUAAAUCCCCCGGUGCC
rnacentral:rRNA from 1 species